AUUGAACGCUGGCGGCAUGCCUUACACAUGCAAGUCGAACGGUAACAGGUCUUCGGAUGCUGACGAGUGGCGAACGGGUGAGUAAUACAUCGGAACGUGCCUAGUAGUGGGGGAUAACUACUCGAAAGAGUGGCUAAUACCGCAUGAGAUCUACGGAUGAAAGCAGGGGAUCGCAAGACGUUGUGCUACUAGAGCGGCCGAUGGCAGAUUAGGUAGUUGGUGGGAUAAAAGCUUACCAAGCCGACGAUCUGUAGAUGGUCUGAGAGGACGAUCAGCCACACUGGGACUGAGACACGGCCCAGACUCCUACGGGAGGCAGCAGUGGGGAAUUUUGGACAAUGGGCGAAAGCCUGAUCCAGCAAUGCCGCGUGCAGGAUGAAGGCCUUCGGGUUGUAAACUGCUUUUGUACGGAACGAAAAGCCCCGGGUUAAUACCCUGGGGUCAUGACGGUACCGUAAGAAUAAGCACCGGCUAACUACGUGCCAGCAGCCGCCGUAA
rnacentral:rRNA from 1 species